CCUAGGGGAGGCAGCAGUGGGGAAUAUUGGGCAAUGGGCGCAAGCCUGACCCAGCAACGCCGCGUGAAGGAAGAAGGCUUUCGGGUUGUAAACUUCUUUUGUCAGGGACGAAGCAAGUGACGGUACCGGACGAAUAAGCGACGGCUAACGACGCGCCAGCAGCCGCGGUAAUACGUAGGGGGCAAGCGUUAGCCGGAUUUACUGGGUGUAAAGGGCGUGUAGGCGGGGCAGCAAGUCAGAUGUGAAAACCACGGGCUCAACCUGUGGCCUGCUUUUGAAACUGUUUUGCUUGAGUACUGGAGAGGCAGCCGGAAUUCCUAGUGUAGCGGUGAAAUGCGUAGAUAUUAGGAGGAACCCCAGUGGCGAAGGCGGUCUGCUGGACCGCACCUGACGCUGAGGCGCGAAAGCGUGGGGAGCAAACAGGAUUAGAUACCCGAGUAGUC
rnacentral:rRNA from 1 species